CGCAGGCGCGGCCCUUCUCUCUUUUCGGCGUCGGUCUCGUGGCGGGAAGUCAUGGCGGCCUCAGGCUGGUCCGAGCUAGGCCGGCAACCUCGGACCUUUGGCGGCGGCCUUUGUUUGGCAACUGCAGAGAUGGUGAGAAGCCGACGUGCACGUUGAAGCUUAAAACCAGCGAAUGGAACCCUGAAAUGAGUAAGAAUGGAUGCAGAUUAAAGAUGUUGGCUGUGGACUUGGAAAAAAGUCACAUGAAAACCAUCGUUCAAAGAUACUGAGUGUAAGGAUCUUUGUGAUGAAAUUUCUAUGAAUGGUACAGUCUCAGCCUCAGUUUGAGGCCGAAAAGGAUGCUCCAGAACAAGACACUAACUAGCAGCAGUGCUGUUUCCGCUGCCCUGGACCCGAGGCGGAAUUUCUCUCGUGUGUGUAAUAGAGAAGAUCUUUGGAACAGGCUUGGGGGGAGUGUUCUUUUUGCUUCCCCUGUCCUGGCCUUUGAGUUGUGCUGAGUGGCAGGGAGACUUUUACUUAGGUUUGUCUUCUUCGCCGGGUGUCUGCAGUGAGUGAGACAGAAUUGAACUGCUUUGCCUGAAGCAGGUGAAACGAUGAUUCUUCUCGUGUUUGUAAGCUUUCUCUUUCUUCUUACGUGUCCCAAAGAAGCCCCACAAGCCUAUGAUGGUUAGUUAUCCCCGUCUGAAAAUCUCAACUGAGGGAAAACCAUCUGUUCUGAGGCUUAAGGGGCUGGCCCUGUGCUCUUAAAAGAAGUUCAGGCUCUAAGGGAUCGAAUUGAAUGGACUCCACAGGGAAUUGUGCAUACCCUGCCAAGACCCCAGUCCUAAUGCAUUCACCCCUCUGCAGCUUGAAAAGCAGUGGUGUGGCUGCCCUGUCACACUUUAGGCCCCUUGAUUAAUGGCUCUGAGGGCACAGGCUGUAAGAGGUGGCAGAAGUGGGCAAGUGGCCCAGAUUUGGUUCAUACUCUAUUGUGGAAUGAAAGAGUGCUUGUCACAUAUUUCAAGAAAAUGAAUGUGCUGUUUGAAACAGA